rnacentral:tRNA from 1 species
GCUACCGUUAAACUAUUCUCAGUUGGGAGAGCGCUUGAAUGGCAUUCAAGAGGUCGUCAGUUCGAUCCUGAUCAGCUCCA